rnacentral:rRNA from 1 species
UACGAAGGGGGCUAGCGUUGCUCGGAAUCACUGGGCGUAAAGCGCACGUAGGCGGCUUUCUAAGUCAGGGGUGAAAUCCUGGAGCUCAACUCCAGAACUGCCUUUGAUACUGGAGAGCUUGAGUCCGGGAGAGGUGAGUGGAACUCCGAGUGUAGAGGUGAAAUUCGUAGAUAUUCGCAAGAACACCAGUGGCGAAGGCGGCUAACUGGUCCAGCACUGACGCUGAGGUGCGAAAGCGUGGGGAGCAAACAGG